ncrna:unclassified sequences type-P1 twister ribozyme
CAUCUAAUGUAACCUACAGCCUCAAAGGCCACGAGGAGGUACGGCUGGUCCCAAGUCCAGAAUGAAAGAUACAGAGGGAAUG